CAGUUUAAGCUUCCCCAAAGUACGCCAGCUCCCCGAACCGAGUGCACCGAGAUCCUGUCUGGAGAUGCCGAGACCACGUCCCUUCAAGGCACCUUCGCGUCCAGGCUGUCGGAGACUCGUCUGUGCCCUGGCCUCCGUUCAUUCCACAGGCUCGGCAUUUCCUAGUCCAACCUGCCUGAACCCAGAUGGAGUGGCUCCUUCCCUCUGCCCGGACCCCUGCCCCGACCCGGUCUAGCUCCUCCCUCCGGCUUCCAAGGAGUCCUGCCUCCUCCGGGAGCCUCUCCAGCACGAGCACAACCUGGGCUCUGCAGCCCCAUCUGUCGUCCUCCAAACCAAGGGGGAGGACGGGUCAGGCUGAUCUGUGUGUCCCCAGGGCCGAGCCAGUGCUCAGGAAACACUUAGCAAAUGGUGGCACCCUGGGUAGGAGUGCUGGUCUGUCCCAGUUCUGACACCCGAUACGGUGUUUCCUGACCUCCCUUGCCAAAGAGAGCCAAUCUCUCCAGACGAGCUAAACACCCUGAAUGUCCCUACCUCUCAAUGCAGAGAAACGAAACCACCACGAGAGAAGACAGAAGGUGUGCUCGGAGCAAGGAGUCUUACAUUCCCUAGGCUGUGAGUGACAUCCCUUCUGGGGAGCCCUGUCUCCUCCCUGCGGCUUAGGCUCAGAAAAAUGCCCACCCCAAGCAGUGUGGUUCUGAAUCACACUGAAAAGAGAAACCUCAAACAGUGAUGCUCAGAGCAAACUAAAGAGCAGGACUUUGAGAGACGACAGGAAUGACUGGAGGACGGAGACCCGACCACCAGGGUCUGCAAGUUAGGACGGUCAGCGCCCCUUACACGAUCUCGCUGGAUCUUCCCUUGGCCCCCUCCUGUAAAACCUUACUCAACCUUCAAGGCCCGGCCUCAAUGCCGCCUCGCACAGAAAGCAAGCUGGAUGGAUGUCCCAGCUCUCUGAGACCGCGGAGGGCGUGUCUGCAUGUCUGCUCUGGCAACCCGGCCCGGCCAGCUACUGCCAUCCCCUCAUCACCUGCGGCCUCCCCGAGGCCAGAAAUCCUCAGUGUUCACCUCUGCCGGGCCCACACAUGGGUCACACUCGACAGGCACCCAUUACGUGGACAGGUAACACUCUCAAAGCCAGCCGUGUUCAAUGGCCCGAGAUAGCUUCUCAAUAAAAUGUCCCCAAACCCAA